UCUAUGCCGAAAUCGAAGGCCAGCAGUUGAAGGGACCAACGAGCUAAGCGACCAUCCAGGUUCUUCAUGGUCAUGAGCCAUUUGAGACUGGCGUGGUCAGUUAUGACUGUAAACGGCAUAAGCUCUACGUACGGACGGAACUUAAAUAUCGCCAUGAGGGCUGCCAGACACUCCUUCUCUGUCCCCGAGUAGUUUUUUUGGUGGCAAUUCAGUUUGGCAGAGAAAAACGCUAUGGGCCUCUCGUUCUGCUCGUCAUCCCUUUGGAAGAGUACGGCUCCUACUCCAUAAUGUGAUGCGUCGCCCUGUAUGUAGAAGUGCCGCUUGAAAUCCGCGUGUACCAGGACUGGUGCCGAGGGCCGGUACCAGCCCGCAGUUCCCAGGAAACUACGCAAUUCUCGAAUCAAAGAUCGCGGCUCGGGAAUGCGCAAAAUGGCCGACACACGAUCCGGAUCCAUCUUCAGCGCUCCUCCUCCCACUAUAAAUCCCAGACGCUCGGCAACCUGUCGCAGAAUCU